CUUUGUUCUCCGCCCGACGCGCCCGGGAUCGUGGGUCCUGCACGCGUGGGCCGCGGUGCCCCGCAUGCCCACGGCCCGCCCCCAAGGCGCGCAAAGCGGAAAGCGGGCCACAUAAAAGGGCUUUCGGGGUCUCGCGUGGACCGCGGGACCAGGCGGCCUCGGUAAUUUUCUUUUUCUGGGGGUAAUUACCGAGUAAUCUGUAGGUUGGGCGGCAGCGGUGGCGGUGGGCGGGGUCGCGGGGGUCGCGAGGGAGGCGGGGCGGGCGGGGAGGCCGCGCUCUGCUGGGCCCGAGCCUGAGCAGGCUCUGCUAACCCGCACCCCAACCCCAACCCCAACCCCCAGCUUUUGGAGGCAGACUGCCAAGGUUUGGAGGUUCGAGGCCGGGUUUGUCAUUCGCCUGCGAGGUGAACACUGGAAAAACAUGACUGAUUCUGUGCAACUUGGAAAAGGAAAAGUCAUCAGCAAGUCCCAUCCUUACCACACACAAAUACAUUACAGAGAGGGCCAAGCUGGAGGUGGUGUUGUUGACAGAAACAUUGUAAGCAGAGAAGGUGAAUCAAUCCAUGGAGUAUCCCUAUCACACUGGAUGAAGGCCUGGUGACCUUCAGCGGCACACAAACUUUUUAGGGGCAAAAGAAGUAUAAAGUACAGAAGUCUAAACAAUC
rnacentral:lncRNA from 12 species